rnacentral:rRNA from 1 species
AUUGAACGCUGGCGGCAGGCCUAACACAUGCAAGUCGAACGGUAACAGGAAACAGCUUGCUGUUUCGCUGACGAGUGGCGGACGGGUGAGUAAUGUCUGGGAAACUGCCUGAUGGAGGGGGAUAACUACUGGAAACGGUAGCUAAUACCGCAUAACGUCGCAAGACCAAAGAGGGGGACCUUCGGGCCUCUUGCCAUCGGAUGUGCCCAGAUGGGAUUAGCUAGUAGGUGGGGUAACGGCUCACCUAGGCGACGGUCCCUAGCUGGUCUGAGAGGAUGACCAGCCCAACGGGAACUGAGACACGGUCCAGGCUCCUACGGGAGGCAGCAGUGGGGAAUAUUGCACAAUGGGCGCAAGCCUGAUGCAGCCAUGCCGCGUGUAUGAAGAAGGCCUUCGGGUUGUAAAGUACUUUCAGCGGGGAGGAAGGGAGUAAAGUUAAUACCUUUGCUCAUUGACGUUACCCGCAGAAGAAGCACCGGCUAACUCCGUGCCAGCCGCCGCUGUAA